UAUUCAAGUAAGAUAUAGUAGUAG
rnacentral:misc_RNA from 1 species